AGUGAACGCUGGCGGUAGGCCUAACACAUGCAAGUCGAACGGCAGCACAGUAAGAGCUUGCUCUUACGGGUGGCGAGUGGCGGACGGGUGAGGAAUACAUCGGAAUCUACUUUUUCGUGGGGGAUAACGUAGGGAAACUUACGCUAAUACCGCAUACGACCUACGGGUGAAAGCAGGGGAUCUUCGGACCUUGCGCGAUUGAAUGAGCCGAUGUCGGAUUAGCUAGUUGGCGGGGUAAAGGCCCACCAAGGCGACGAUCCGUAGCUGGUCUGAGAGGAUGAUCAGCCACACUGGAACUGAGACACGGUCCAGACUCCUACGGGAGGCAGCAGUGGGGAAUAUUGGACAAUGGGCGCAAGCCUGAUCCAGCCAUACCGCGUGGGUGAAGAAGGCCUUCGGGUUGUAAAGCCCUUUUGUUGGGGAAGAAAAGCAGCAGGUUAAUACCCCGCUGUUCUGACGGUACCCAAAGAAUAAGCACCGGCUAACUUCGU
rnacentral:rRNA from 1 species